rnacentral:rRNA from 1 species
UAGUUGGUGGAGCGAUUUGUCUGGUUAAUUCCGUUAACGAACGAGACCUCGGCCUGCUAACUAGCUACACGGAGUCAUCCCUUCGUGGUCAGCUUCUUAGAGGGACUAUGGCCGCUUAGGCCAUGGAAGUUUGAGGCAAUAACAGGU